GUCUACGGCCAUGCCACCCUGAACAAGCCCGAUCCCGUCUGAUCUCGAAAGCUAAGCAGGGUUGGUCCCAGUUAGUACUUGGAUAAGAGACCACCUAGGAAGACCAGGUGCUGCAGGCA
rnacentral:rRNA from 1 species